GCGUGAGUGCGUGCGUGCGUGCGUUCGGCGCGCGGGGCGUGGGCGCGGCACCUGGGCCCGGGCACCGCCACCUAGGCCCUAGCUCCGACCAGUGGUGUUCUAUAAACGCUUAUUACAUCAUUGUGCAUAGGCUUCAUUUUUAAAAGUACUCCCAAAUAAAUACAAGGAGGCGAUGGAAAUUGAAUGAAGAUUCGAAGGAUUCCCAUAGAGCGUGGCUCACUUCCCCUCACCGGGACAGCGAGCGGCGGCUCACCUGGGAGAGCAAAGCGUGGCUCUCCUGCGCCCACCCGGGAGAGCAAACAAUGGCUCACCUGCGCCCACCCGGGAGAGCAAGCGUGGCUCACCUGCGCCCACUCGGGAAAGCCAGCCGCCAUCCUGUGCUGCAGGCAGGGAGCGGGCGGCGGGAGAGGAGCGGAUCCACUUAGGUCAGCGGUUAAAACGUCGUUACAAGAGGCCACCCCGGCAUCGCGGGGCCUGUGGCUGCGCCCCCUCUUGAAUUCAGGCCUAGCACAUCACCUCCGCCCCUCGCACCCUGCAGUCUGCGCUCCAUACAGCACGUGAGCGGGUGCUCAGCAAUGUUCCCUGGCUGAAAGAACCGCAUAGAGUAGCAUGCAAAAAUGACAUGCAUGUUUAAGAUAAAAUAAGGGAGAGGACACCUGUUCUGACUGAGUCUGGCAACUCAGAUCUCCCCGCAGCCAACAUCUACAUUCCUUUGGACAGCUGUCUGCUGUGUAGGGACACCUCCCUGGAACUUUGAAAAGCACCCCAUCAUUACCUUCCACUUUGUUCUGGAGCAAGGUUUCAAAAGAAGAGUGCCGUAUUUUGAUUAAUUUAGUGAAUUGGAUUUUCAGACACAAGUAAGAGCAUCCACUCAGUGGCCUCUGCAGUAAAUAAUGAUAUCAGAUCACAUAACAAGAAGACUGGAGGUUGGCGGGAAAUCUGGACCUGGUGACUCAAAGAAGUCAUGAAGGACCAUCUCUCCAUUCUGCCACCUUCUCGCCUGUGGAUUUUCCUCCCCAGGCUUGUCACUUCAUUGUCGAGAGAUGCCCUCACAAUCCAAGCCAGGCAGCCUCACAUGACCAGAUCUAAAACACAAAGAGGGAGCCAAACUGAGAAAGGACCUUUUCCCUCUGAACACUUCUCUCUUGGAAAAAGAAAAUGUUUCCCAGAAAGCCUCAUAGCCUUCCUCUUAUAUCUCCUUGACUAACUGGGACCCGGAUCCCUGGAUAUCCUUUCCUGAGAAAGAGAGGGUCUGGGGCAGGGGAUAGAGAAAAUGACUAGCAACUAGCAGCACAUGAUGUUUAAACAUAAGAUUUAAAGAAAUGCAAGGCACAAACAAUUUGAAGACUUUUUUUAAGUUUUUAAAAUCUUCACAAAAUAAAAAGGAAUUGGACAAUGCACUUUAAAAACUAGAAGACGUUUCACUGAAAACAGCAUCUCCUAAUUCAUUUCAUGGCUUAGAUAGUAAUAGAAAAUUAUUUUAUUCUAAUUCCAUACUUUAUCAACUAAUUUUAAUUAUUUUAUAAUUACCCAAAAUAUGUCAUGUAGAAUGAAAAUAAAAGAAAAUGAAAACAGUUAUAUCAAGGCCAAGUCAGUUGUAUGUUUACUGGCUAUUUAGAAAUUUCUAAAUACGUGUAUAUUUAGAAAUGACUAUAUAGAUACUAUUUGGGUAAUGUUAGGGAUGGAAAGUUUAUGUCCCCCCAAAAUUUGUAUGUUGAAAUCCUAAGCCCAAUGUGAUGGUUUUAAGGGGCGGGGCCUUUGUGAGGUGAUUAGGUCAUGAGAGUGGAGACUUCAUGGAUGAGAAUAGUAAGUAUCCUUAUAAAAGAGACUCCAGAGGCUGGGUGCAGUGUCUCAUGCCUGUAAUCCCAGCACUUUGGGAGGCCGAGGCAGGUGGAUCGCCUGGGGUCAGGAGUUCGAGACCAGCCUGGCCAACAUGGCAAAACCCUGUCUCUACUAAAAAUACAAAAAUUAGCCAGGUGUUGUGGUGGGCACCUGUAAUCCCAGCUACUUAGGAGGCUGAGGCCUGAGAAUUGCUUGAACCCAGGAGGUGGAGGUUGCAGUGAACUGAGAUCGCGCCACUGCACUCCAGCCUGGGGGACGGAGUGAGACUGUCUCCAAAAAAUAAAAUACAAUAAAAGAGACUCCAAAGAACUUUCUAGCCCUCUUGCCACCACCUAAGGAUGCAAAGAGUUGACAGCAACCUGGAAGAGCCCUCACCAGAACUCGACCAUUCUGGCACUCUGACUUCCAGCCUCCACUAAGUUGAAGUCAUCUUCAAGUAAAACCUGUGUAUUGUUAAUGUAUCCAGAACAGUGCCUGACAUAUACUAGGCACUCAGUGAACAUUUGCUGAAUAAAUGAAUGCCGUUUAAAAACAUCCAAGGAUGCUGUAUCUUUGUCUACUUUGGAGGGAAUGUCUGUAUCACAAGAAUAAAUUUGAUACAACAUAGAACAAGAUGAUCAUCUGACACAAUUAGUAUUUCACUUGAAUUGUUUAUUAGGCAUUUAGCCACAUGACAAAAGACAAUUUGAAGACCACAGAUAUAAUUUCA
rnacentral:lncRNA from 10 species